GACGAACGCUGGCGGCGUGCUUAACACAUGCAAGUCGAACGAAGUGGCGCACGGGUGAGUAAUACGUGGGUAACCUGCCCUCCUUAUUGGGAUACGACUUGGGAACGGGGUCUAAUACCGCAUAUAGGGGUAUGGGCUCGCGGCCUAUCAGCUUGUUGUGGGGGUGAUGGCCUACCAAGGCGGUGACGGGUAGCCGGCCUGAGCGGGUGACCGGCCACAGUGGGACUUGGAGACGGCCCAGACUGCUACGGGAGGGAGCAGUGUGGGAAAGUACACAAGUGGGGAAAGCCUGAUCCGGCGACGUCUCGUGGGGGAUGGAGGCUUGCGGGUUGUAAACCUCUGUCGCUAUCGAAUGGGUAGGUGGAGAGGAAGCCCCGGCUAACUACGUGCCAGCAGCCGCGGUAAUAC
rnacentral:rRNA from 1 species